UCUUGAUUAUCACUACAAAAGAUUUUUCUCUUACUUAAUUAGCCUCUUAGAGUUGGUAGGACAACUCCCACCUUUUCAUGCUCUCUCUAUGCGUAUCUAUGUCUCAUUAUCUCACUGGGGGCCAUCAGCAGUUGAAGCAGGAUACAGAAUUACAGCUACGGUGUUAAAACAACACUACACCACCUUUCUCCGCUUGCAGUGGCCUAGCUAGUACACACGUCACGGAGCUUUAAUAGCCCAGCCACCAGGAAGGCAGGUGCCGUCUCGAACAGGAAAUCAAUAAACAAGGGCUUGGUAAUACAGCUCUGUCUGCUUUCAUUUGCAGCUGUUCUUACCUCACCACCGACGACACCAGAAAAGAACCUGACCGUUGCCAUCUUCCCAUGGACUGUUCCUGCCGGUAUACCAAACCUCGUCCUCUACAUCCUGAUCCCAUCCGUCCUGCUGGUUCUACUUUUGAUUUUGUUCAUUGCUGUAAAGUUUAGAAGAGCAUCACAGAGGAGGAGCGAAGAAUCCUGGGCACAACCUUCCCUUCAGUGCAUCAGAUCCUGCUGUCACUGGCCAAAUGGCAAACUAUAUGAAUGAGGAGCACCUGCCCAGCUCAGCCGAUCCAGCGUCUGACUAUGAAAGGAUGAUCCCGCAGAUGAGUCAGGUUUCAGGACAGAGAAAAGCAGUUUCUUCUGGCCCACAGGACUUCUCAGCCACAGAUCUGCAGGACACCUACGUCACUAUGUGCGCAAUCACACCCCAUUCCCCCAUGAUCUGUCAUCAAGCAAAGUGUGGGAGAAAAGCUGCAGGCUGAAGCCAUUCCUACUCACGGGAUAUUUAGCAGUUCGUCCUUAUUUUCCUACUGUCCCAUGAAAGCUUCCAGACUGGCAUUCCCUGUGCCCUGCUUCUGCUGAGCAAUCUGCCAGCAGCAAGAUGUGGUAGGAAGGUCCCACUUUCAGCACGAUUUUGUCUUCAGAAAUGUACUGGGGGCCAACAGCUACUACAAAGUGCUUCUCCUUUCCUGGACAUCAGCUUGAAACAGCACAAAGUCUUGGUGGCUCCGGUUCCUCAAGGGCUGGAGGUAUUCCUCUGGUGCUCGUUGUGGCAUCUCUCUGCUCCAGCGCCACAUAAUUGCUCAUAAAACUCACAUGGUGCAAAGGACCUUGGUUCUGGGGGUCAGAACCUCAGGAUGAUGAGACAACUCUUUGGCCGGAGGUGAUGUGGGCAACAGGGCCUCAGGAAGGCUGAGGAACAGAUGCUUGGGGAGAUGAGGGUGUGGAAAUAACAAUGGGAAGACGAGGCAGAAGGAAACAGCUUUGUCCUUCAUUCCCCCAGUCAGCGUGGAGGUAAUUGUGAUGGAAUCUUUUUACCCCCAAUCCCAUGUUAGCACAAUGGCUUAGAACAAGAAGGGCACAUGGAAUCCCCCAUUUUAUAUAGGUGAAGUGAAAAGAUUGAGAGCCCAUUCCCAGACAUUCUUUUUGGACGUCUUCGUCUUUGAUCCUAAAUACCCUGUGGGACACAUCUAAAGAAUUUGGACACAAGACCAAUAUCAUUCUGGAGUGCAGGAACAGGAGUGUUGUAUGAAAGACACGAGAGAUAAUGGUCCCACUCUACCUAGCACUGGUUAGCUCCGAGCCGGACGUUGUGUCCAGUUCUGGGGGCCACACUUUAGGAAAGAGGUGAACAAGCUAGAGAGAGUCCAAAGAGCUACAACAAUGAUAAAAGUUUUAGAAAAAUCUCACCUCUGAGGAAAGGUUAAAACCACUAGGUGUGGUUAGUCGCGAGAAAAAAAAAGCAGAUGGGGAACCAAACUUCAAAUAUGUUAAGGGCUGUUAUAAAAAGGACAGAAAUCAAUUGUUCUCCGUGUCCACUGAAAGCAGGACAAGAAGCAAAUGGGCUUAAUCUGGA